GCGGCAUGCCUUACACAUGCAAGUCGAACGCGAAAGCACUUUCGGGUGUUAGUAGAGUGGCAAACGGGUGAGUAACACGUGGGAAUAUACCUUCAGGUGCGGAAUAGCCUCGGGAAACUGGGAUUAAUACCGCAUGAUGUCCUCGGACCAAAGAUUUAUCGCCUGAAGAUUAGCCCGCGUCAGAUUAGCUAGUUGGUGGGGUAAUAGCCUACCAAGGCAACGAUCUGUAGCUGGUCUGAGAGGACGAUCAGCCACAUAGGGACUGAGACACGGCCCAAACUCCUACGGGAGGCAGCAGUGGGGAAUAUUGGACAAUGGACGAAAGUCUGAUCCGGCAAUGCCGCGUGAAUGAUGAAGGCCUUAGGGUUGUAAAGUUCUUUAAGUGGGGAAGAUAAUGACGGUACCCACAGAAUAAGCACCGGCUAACUUCGUGCCAGCAGCCGCGGUAA
rnacentral:rRNA from 1 species